AGUCGGGCUUCAUUUCAGGAAGGGAGACUGUUGCCUUACAGGCCUUCAUUUGUUUCCCAACGCAGUCACCCCAUUCGAAACACUGUUUCGUAUUCUAUGUGUAAAACCGGGUUUUUGGCCCAUCGGUUCCCAUGUGAGAUGACCCCCCUCUAACUGGACUCUUUUAUGUAAGGGCCGCUUUGGAUUCCAGAACGACUGGGUCAGAUGAUGGCCCUGCUUGGAAUGGCCCACAUAUUUCUGGGCGUCUGUGUGUCUAUGUUGCCCAGACAUGCUCCUACUUAGCUUUGGUAAUCCUUUCUGGACCGAGGGUGCCAAAGUAAGUAUCAGUCACUCCGUCUCCAACAGCAAUUGUAGAUGGCCCAGGAAAUGUCAGCCCUAGAAAAUAAACAGCCCUAAUAUUAGCUCAGACGUGAGGACAUUUUCCCCCAGCAGGUGUGUGUGUGUGGGGGGGGGGGGGGAAGGCCCUUAAAUUCUCAUGUAUUUUUAAAGUGUGCCUCAUACACUCAAUUCUCCCAGGCGUCACUAAAUGUAUUUUGGUCCAGAAGAGCAGUUAUUACCAUAGCUUUUGCCCGAGGGAUGAGCCAGCAUCCGGCCCUCAGUUCCCCGGGCUCGAGGUGGCCAGCUGUCCCCAGCACGGGGUGAGCGCCCGCAUAUCUCCUCAGCCCACGGUCCCCACUGCCGCCAGGCAGGCAGUGAUUCCAGGGUCACGGUGCAUGGCCACUCCUCCCGCCAGAGAAAAAUGUGCAUGUGGCAGUUGCGGACAGUUCCCCACGCGGACCCCAGGUGUCGUGCUGUCACCAAUGAGCAUCUGCUGUAUACAACAGCGGUGUUGUACGGCACACUGAGUCACAGAGCCUGGACAUCGUCUCCCUGGAGGAAGCCUCCGAAUUCCCCCAGACACCCCUCCUGAGGCCUGGAAAGGUAAGUGAGCUCAAGCUGCCAGGGUCACUGGGCCCUGGGUGCCUGGCUGAAGAGGGGGGGUGGGGUACGGCAGGCUGCACAGGCCCCAGGUGACUCGGAACCGCCCAUCCCUUCCUGUGGGCUGCCUCCUGGGUGCUCCUUCCUGUGGCCAGUCCUUAGACCGCUACCCGGAGCACCCAGACAGCUCAUCGUCACGGGCUUGGUCUCUAAGUCCCCCUGAUGUGGGACCUCCCUUGGGCCUAUGCAGUCAGGAGAGGCAGCCUGGCGUGAGCGGGAACCGUGGAUCCAGGACAGAAACGCUAGCGUUAAAUCUCCUUGUUUUCUCUGCCUGCACGACGGGACAGUGUCCUGCCCUGCCUGUCUCUAGGUUCCACGUGCAGGCCGUUUGGGUUAAUGUUGUCAUCCUAACACCUUACAGACAGUCGUGAAUGCCCAAGUCGCUUACAUGCUUCCUUCCCUCUUGGGUAAAUAAUCCCAAACCCUUGCCUUCCAAUCCAGUUCAAGUCCUGUCCCUCUUUCUGCUACAUAUUUUCACGUUCAUGGCCUGUGGAGCUUAAAGCCCUCUCACCAGACAGCCCCUAAGCCAGGCCGGGCCAGCGUGCAGUGGUGGGGAAGGACCUCACCGCGCCUAACAUGGAGGUCCCACAGGGACUCUGGCCAAGAGCUCCCUGCCUUGCUGGCACUCCCUAAGACCCUCUGGUGGGAGCGGCUGCCGCUCUGGACACCCGGCGUUUUCUCUGUCGCCUGUUACUGCCUCCCCUGCCCUCCAUGCCUCCUGCACGGCACCCAAAGGCCGGAGAGUUAGCCAAGCCUCCAGGUGAGGCCAGUGCCUCCCAGCAAUGCAGACACUUGGCUUCGGGAAGGAACAGCCACCCACGUCCUGCCCGUGGGCUUGGUUGAGCCUCCCAGAGAGGCCGCCGGCCU
rnacentral:lncRNA from 1 species